rnacentral:rRNA from 1 species
AACGAACGCUGGCGGCAUGCCUAACACAUGCAAGUCGAACGAGACCUUCGGGUCUAGUGGCGCACGGGUGCGUAACGCGUGGGAACCUGCCCUUAGGUUCGGAAUAACUCCCCGAAAGGGGUGCUAAUACCGGAUAAUGUCUUCGGACCAAAGAUUUAUCGCCUUUGGAUGGGCCCGCGUUGGAUUAGCUAGUUGGUAGGGUAAAAGCCUACCAAGGCGACGAUCCAUAGCUGGUUUGAGAGGAUGAUCAGCCACACUGGGACUGAGACACGGCCCAGACUCCUACGGGAGGCGGCAGUGGGGAAUAUUGGACAAUGGGCGAAAGCCUGAUCCAGCAAUGCCGCGUGAGUGAUGAAGGCCUUAGGGUUGUAAAGCUCUUUUACCCGGGAUGAUAAUGACAGUACCGGGAGAAUAAGCUCCGGCUAACUCCGUG